GAAAUUUCAGGGUUAAACAUGUCAGAGUUGAUUUCAACUCUCAAAGUGUCAUUUUAACACAUUCUGAUUAAAAUGGUGUUCAGUGUUGGAGUUAUUUAACAGAGUUAUUCCAACCUAAGCAAAUCAACUCUGUAGAGAUGUAAAGUGCAUCUCGGCCGAGUUAACUUGCUUGAUAGGCCCCUGGGCUUCAGUCCAGGUAACCCCAUGUGUUAUGCCCCUGGGCUUUCAGCAGGGUGAACCCGUGCAUCAAUCAAUAGUCUCCUGUGCGUGGCGUGGUCAACCGUCGUUUAUUUCGCUGCUGGAAUCAGGAAUGGAUGCGGAGUUGGACUUUUACACGAGAGAAAAAUGUUGAUCCAGGUUCGGUAUUGCCAACAGCAGAAGUAUGUGAAGUUGGAUGAGGUUGAUGGAUGUUUUGAUUUUGUGCAGUUCCAUGACAAAGAAUUUUCCGAUUGCUCCUUGUCCUCUCCAUCCGAUUAUUCUGAUUCAAGCUUCAGUUCAUGUGCAAGUACAUCAACUAUACUCCUAGAUGAGGUUCCUAGGAAGAAACCAAGACUUGAGGGCCCACUUACUGCAGCAUCUGCUAGAAAGUUGAUUGAAGAUGUCCUUGGUACCAGCUCAGGUGGUGAAGAGGUCCUCCAAGAGUAUCACACAACAAAAACUCUAACAGAUGCUACCAGAAGAAAGUUGGUCAAUAUAAUAGUGGCACACAUGAUUGAUAAACACGGGCAACUCCCCAGCAAAGCUGUUCGAGAAGAGUACGCUCUUGGGAUAGUGACAGUGUUCCCGUCCCUCAAAGACCCAUACUCCAAGAAAGGCUAUGAACAUUUCUAUGAUGCUGCAAGCAGCACCGGAUACAUUUCUUGGCGUCUGAAAACGAUUCAGAGAAAGAUUCGAAGAGGACAUGCAUCUACAAGUAGCCCCACUGGCUUUUCCCCAGGAGGAGGUCAGUCUAUCUAUCUAUCU